UAAAUACAAUAUUGUUGUACACGAAAGCAAUUUUUAAAAUUGAUUAGUUUUUGCAAGCCGAGUCACUUGAAUAAUUAAGUCCAUUGUGAUGUAACUGGAACACUUUUCGGUUAAAUUCUUUUUUUAUUACAAAUAAAUUGGUGUACCUUUUAUAUGGCGGUGUCCAAGAAGUGAGCAGCAGAAGGACUGAUCUUCUAGAGAAGUUUAUAUACAUAACAAAAGUCGACAUACAUAUGUCAAUUUUGGGACCGCCCUCGUAGUAUGGAGUAUAGUGGAGAUAGUUUGGUUUUUUCAUUGGUCUGGGUAUAAAAAUAACAAAAAUUAGCUUAAAUUCAUUUUAACUGUAUACGGAGUCUGCUUUAGCUGAGUAUAAGCUGUUGUUUUAAUUACAUUUCCAAUCUUGAAGAAAUCACCAUUAUAACUUGGAGCAUAAAAAAAUUCCAA